AUGAAUUGGGUCUUCAAAGAGAAAAUUUUUUAUUUCCAUAUGAAGUCACUCAAUGUCCCCUCCACGUUAACCCAUCCUUCAAGGAAAGACACCUUCUCCGAAGACUGUUCUACCACAUCGCUCAUCACUCCCGAGAUGUUUUUCAGUCCCAGUGUAAUUAUCUCCAUGAUGGAGGAGGCUCCAGAUGCAUUUAUUUGCCCCUCUCUGUGACUGGAAAAUGUAUUCCAUAUUCAGUUAAAGUCAGUAAUUAAAACGACCUAAUCUGCAUUCACUUUGUAACCACUGGCUGAAACUCCCCCUCUGUCAACCCCAGAGGUGGGAGGGCUGCUGCAUUUAAACCCACACUGAAGAUCUCCGAUUGGCUGGUGCACAGUUAGAACAGGUGAAAUAAUCUAAUCUGGAAUAUUGCUCUCCUCACCUUUUUUUAAUAAAGAUUUGCCUCACCACAGACCUUAAUAUAACAGCAGUAAAGGCAAGAGAGGAAAUUGGAAACACGGCCAGGAGUGUGCCUUAUGGUUCAUAACAGCCCCAAAUUGUGACUGUUUAUUAAAACUAACACCCUUUUGUGAGUGAGGGUGUGGAUCAAAAUAUCCAGUGGUUUCUCUUCUUCAAUAUUCCCCUUUUUUAUAGCACUGAGUUUAAGUUUCAGUUUUAGAGUUUCAUUAAGUUUUUAAAAUUGUUUCUGACUGAAACAUUGACUUAAAAAGGCAACUUGUCCGUAAUUUGUCCCUGUUCCUUAUUUCCAUUAUUUAUUUCAAUCCGUAGGAGAUGUCUAUGGAUGGAUGACCUCUUGGGCCACUGGGACAAGAAAGAGUUAAGGCAAGUGAAGGACCAGAGGAGACAGAAGUCCAGAGAACUGCCUCACAAAAUACAAUUAAGGGCCUUUCCCAGGCCCAUGGCGCUCUGGUGCUGCCAGAGUGUUUGCAUUGCAAGUGACAUCUGGCUGACAGGAACUUGGAGAAAUGGGAUACGAAGUGAAUGCUGCAGUUACCACAAGCAUCGUAUUUAUCAAAAGGUUUAAGGUUGGCCUGUCUUUGUUUAACAUAUGAAACUUGGAACAUUGACUGGGAAGCUCUGUGUUUUUGUGUUGCCUGCAUGUUUUAACUGAG
ensembl:lncRNA